AGUCUCUCAUAGAAACUUCUGGCCUCUGGACACUGUGGGAGCAACUUUUCCUUUAUUAGACUGUCUCCUCUUUAACUGAAGAUACUUUAGCACAGCAAGCAUCUCUUUUAUGCUUACAUUAUGCAGUUAUGCAGACUUGGUGUACGUCCUUCAAGGACAGUCUAAGAAUCUUUGAUUCUAUUUCUGCUGGAUACAUUGUUGCAGAGAUGUAAGAAGGAAGGACUUAGAAAAGAAUAUUGCAGCAUGACUGGGAAGCCUGUCCUUCAUUACUUCAAUUGAAGAAGAAGAAUGGAGUCCAUCCGGUGGCUCCUGGCAGCAGCUGGAGUAGAGUUUGAGGAAGAACUUUUUGAAACCCAUGAAGAGUUUGAGAAGUUAAUCCAAGGUGGAACCCUGAUGUACGAGCAAGUGCCCAUGGUGGAAAUCGAUGGAAUGACUUUGGUGCAGACCAGUGCCAUCUUAAGAUAUGUAGCUGCAAAAUAUGACUUGUAUGGAAGGAACCUGGAGGAACAAGCCUGAAGAGAAGGAGAUGAACCUUGAAUACAUCCUCCACCGAGCUACAACAAGAUUCUUCCCCGUUUAUGAGAAGGCCCUGAGAGACCACGGGCAAGACUUUCUUGUGGGCAAUCGGCUGAGCUUGGCUGAUGUCCAGCUCCUUGAAGUCAUCUUAAUGGCUGAAGAAUGCAAAGCCAGUGUUCUCUCGGGUUUCCCUCUGCUACAGGACUUCAAGGUGAGAACCAGCCAAAUUCCUACAAUUAACAGCUUCCUCCAACCUGGAAGCCAGAGGAAGCCUCCUUUGGAGGAGCGAUCCAUUGGGACUGCAAAGGACAUAUUCAAAUUUGAAUGAGGACUGUUUCUUAAAAACAUGAGCAAUAUAGUAGCUGAGUAUUAACAGCUACAGAGGCUGGAGUUACUCAGUAAGUAUACUGAGUAACUUGACACUGCAUUCAUAAAAAGACACUCACUAAGUAUAUGGCCAGAGAAAUAUCCUGAAGUUAGUAAUAAAUGUUAGGAAUCUUAGUAUGUUAGCAAUGUUAGAAUGUUAGUAAUGGAAAUAUUAAAUGUGUAAGAGAAAAACUACUAGAAGCUUAUCAAUAAACUACAAGAACCAACUCUUGUUUGAAGUAAGACAGGCUACCAAGACAGAAUUCAGAAAAUCCAAGGAGCCCUCGGCCUUCUGUAUGAUCCUAGAAUAAACUUGUAUGUAGCAAGUGAAA
rnacentral:lncRNA from 1 species